rnacentral:lncRNA from 1 species
UAGUAUGUUUGGGGUAUUUGAUAGAUGGAAAUGGUUGUUGAGAUUGUUGUUAAUCGUAGUCAGAGUGAGUUGUUAAGUUUGUAUAGCGGGUGACGAGAAAAAUGAAUUUAAUGAUUGAAUUGCUACGACGUUAGUGAUAGGGAGGAGAUUUAGUAGGUUUGAACCGUAUGUACGGGAGCUUAAGUCUAUUUGUUUGUGAUCAAGUGUGAUAUUGUGUGUUGAGGUAGU